AGCAUCCGCAUCUCCCCGGUGAGCGACAGUUAUUAAAUCUCACAUUUCAAGAAAUCAUAAGUCGUUUCCAAAUCAAAACAAUAAAAUAUUAUUUUCUAGCUCACAAGGGCAUUUUUGUCAUUUUUUUUCAAAAAUAUCGAAACCCGCCAAAAACAUGGUGUAAAAGAUAAAUAUAUUCAUACAUACUUUAAAUCAGAUAACUGAAGUAUAAAAUUUCUUUUACAGUGACACGUGGGCCCCCAACUGACCAAGAAGGUGUAGGGCUACGAACCCUUACUUUCUAGGAUGAAACUCCGAGAUUAAUUCUCGUCUUAAUCAACUAUCAACAAACUGUCCUGAGCCUGAAAAAUGGAUAGGAAGAGGGGUGAGAUUAUGAUUACAUAAUCCCAGUGAGUAAACAGACACCAUCUAAACUAUCUAAAGGCGAGUAAAGGGAGACAAUUAAAAAUAGUUCAUUUCAGUAAAUUUUUCACAACACGAAUAUUCAUUUCAACCAAAUAAUCAAUAUGGCUCGUGAAUUUCUCAAAACUUGGCUCCUGCCAAAAUCAUUCUCUCAAGUACCUUCGUCAAGGUAUCCCAUUGAGACCGCCAAGGCUAUUAAAUGUCCUAUACCCAUAAACAUGUUUUCGCAUCUGACACACAGUCGUUCCUUGGCAUUGGUUGAGUCUCACUCUCACGCGAUGGUUACUGUGAAGUGCACUCAAAAAGCCUACCGCAGGAGAUACCCUACGCGCUU
rnacentral:lncRNA from 1 species